GAUGAAGAACGUAGCGAAAUGCGAUAAGUAAUGUGAAUUGCAGAAUUCAGUGAAUCAUCGAAUCUUUGAGCGCACAUUGCGCCCGCCAGUAUUCUGGCGGGCAUGCCUGUCCGAGCGUCAUUUCAACCCUCGAACCCCUCCGGGGGGUCGGCGUUGGGGAUCGGGAACCCCUAAGACGGGAUCCCGGCCCCGAAAUACAGUGGCGGUCUCGCCGCAGCCUCUCCUGCGCAGUAGUUUGCACAACUCGCACCGGGAGCGCGGCGCGUCCACGUCCGUAAAACACCCAACUUCUGAAAUGUUGACCUCGGAUCAGGUAGGAAUACCCGCUGAACUUAAGCAUAUCAAUAAGCGGAGGA
rnacentral:misc_RNA from 1 species